rnacentral:rRNA from 1 species
UACGUAGGGUGCGAGCGUUGUCCGGAAUUACUGGGCGUAAAGAGCUCGUAGGCGGUCUGUCGCGUCGGUCGUGAAAACUUGGGGCUUAACCCUGAGCUUGCGGUCGAUACGGGCAUGACUGGAGUUCGGUAGGGGAGACUGGAAUUCCUGGUGUAGCGGUGAAAUGCGUAGAUAUCGUAAGGAAGACCAGUGGCGAAGGCGGGUCUCUGGACAGUUCCUGACACUGAGGCACGAAGGCCAGGGGAGCAAACGGG